GACGAACGCUGGCGGCGUGCUUAACACAUGCAAGUCGAACGCUGAAGCUCAGCUUUUGUUGGGUGGAUGAGUGGCGAACGGGUGAGUAACACGUGAGUAACCUGCCUCCUUCUUUGGGAUAACGCCCGGAAACGGGUGCUAAUACUGGAUAUUCACUGGUCUUCGCAUGGGGGUUGGUGGAAAGGGUUUUUCUGGUGGGGGAUGGGCUCGCGGCCUAUCAGCUUGUUGGUGGGGUGAUGGCCUACCAAGGCUUUGACGGGUAGCCGGCCUGAGAGGGUGACCGGUCACAUUGGGACUGAGAUACGGCCCAGACUCCUACGGGAGGCAGCAGUGGGGAAUAUUGCACAAUGGGCGCAAGCCUGAUGCAGCGACACCGCGUGAGGGAUGGAGGCCUUCGGGUUGUGAACCUCUUUCGCUCAUGGUCAAGCCGCAACAAUGGUUGUGGUGAGGGUAGUGGGUAAAGAAGCGCCGGCUAACUACGUG
rnacentral:rRNA from 1 species